UGCCCACGAGCCAGCAGGCAGUACCCAGGGGUGCAGAGAUCUAGGAGGGGGGUCAGCAGGCAGCACCCAGGGGUGCAGAGAUCUAGGAGGGGGGUCAGCAGGCAGCACCCAGGGGUGCAGAGAUCUGGGGUGGCUUGGGCUGCGGUAGAAAUCCUGGAGAAAGGGGAAGAAGGAGACAGAUAAAAAGGGAGAGGGAGAAGGAGAAAGAAGAGGAGGAGGAGACAGAGAGAGGGGGAGAGAGAGAGCCCUGGGAGCCAGCAGCAUUGAGGGGAGCAGAGAGCCAGGGACAGGGAAGCAGCCAGAGAGCGAGCGAGCUAAGCGAGCCCGGGCUGUGGGAGCCGGACUCCAGGGGGAGAGUUUCCCCUCCCAGCCCUGGGAGCCAGCACCACUGAGGGGAGCAGAGCUCCGGGAAGAGAAGGAGGAGACCAGCCUGGGGAGUGCGAGCGAUACCAAGGCAUUGUGGAUGACUGACCCGAACCCUUCCUGAAGAUCACUGCACAGUCUGCUUGUGACAUGCGAGUUCCUGGAUUUGCAUUAGAUCCCUGACUUUGAUGCCUCCGAGUGAUACGGUCUGGAGCCCUUAGGACCAGGAAGGCAGCAGGGCUGCAUGACCGGCUGAACAGAUUUAUCGAUUCCAAGGCCAGAAGGGCCCAGAGCGACCAUCUCGGCUCACCUCCUGCACAACACAGGCCCUGGGACAGUUCCUUUCCAUUUGCUCUCGGGCAGAUCACUGGGAAAAACAUCCCAUCUGAAAUUGACAAACAGCCAGUGAUGGAGAAUCCACCACACCCCUCGCGUAUUUGGUCCAGUGGCUAUUUCCCUGCACUGUUAAAAUACCGCGCUUUAUUUCCAGUGUGAAUCUGUCUAGCUUCAGCUUCCAGCCACCGUUCUCGUUAGACCUUUGUUUGCUGGAUAGAAGAGCCCAUUAUUCUCAAAUAUCUGUUCCCCACGUAGAUACCUAUAGACAGUGAUCAAGUCACCCCUUAACCUUCUCUUUGAUAAGCCAAAUAGAUUGAGCUCCGUGAGUCUAUCGCUAAGGCAGGUCGUCUAACCCUUCAAUCCGUCUUGUGGCUCUUCUCUGAACCCUCUCUAAUUUCUCAACAUCCUGCUUGAUUUGUGGACACCAGACCUGAAUACAGUAGUCCAGUAGCAAUCGCACCAAAUACAGAGGUAAUACAUUCUCCUUACUCUUACUCAAAAUUCCCCCA
rnacentral:lncRNA from 1 species